rnacentral:lncRNA from 1 species
CUAAUUUAGCAUCUAGUUGUAUGGCGUGGUCUGAAGACAGAGAGACCAAAUUUAGGAUCGAGACCAAUUUGGGUUUCUCCUCUCUUUUUUGGCCAAAAUUCACGUGUCACUCGAUCUCAUCGCAUAGCUUCGCUUGGCCUCAUGUCCUCCAUCACAGGUACAUAUCCAUUUUCUCUCCUUUCUUUUCUCUCCUAUAUCUCCGACAUGUAUCAUCUGAAAUUGAUUUUUAUUUUUUAGGGUAAUUUUUCUUCUUCUGUUCUCUUUCAAACUGCACUUUUUUCAUCCAUUUGUGCUUAAUCAAAUUACCUAGAGUUUGCGUUCGCUUAGAGAGAAAAGAAGAGUCGGACACCAGAUAGCGAGCAAAAAUCCGGAGGAGGAGAGAGGAAAUUGAUCGGGAAUCACAACUCACAAAGGUAAAGAGAGAGGAAAUUGAUCGGAGCAGAGGAUUGGGUGCUUAAAACCCUUCAAGAUUGGACAAAAUCCAUCAAACUCAUUGUAUGUACCAAGGUUUUCGGCCUUGCUGAAGGUAAGUUUUUUUUUUAUGUCAAUUAUCCCAUUUACAGCGGAUUCGAUCUGCUUCUUUUUUUGGGUUUCACCCGUUACGCCAUGCUUUCUCCGUUACCGAGUCCGGCGCAAUGGCCCAAACUUUGAACACUGAUACUGAAGAUUCACUCUGUGAAACACUUAAAUUGAUUGAUUAUUUUUUCUUCAGUUGGCAUGUAUUAUAUGCAGAGUACGUAAGCUCAAUGAUUAUACUAAAAAAAUUCUCCAAAUGGCUUUUUAUUAUAUAUCUGUAUGCAAUAUGCAUGUAUUUGUUUAUUUGUUUUUCGAUAUCUUUGUAUAUAUGUAAUUAUUUUUGAACCAUGAAACUAUUGCUUCCUGUUAAUCCAUCGCCUAACAGGCUAACACAAUCACUUUUCAAGGUCUGAAAGUGAUGGUAUAUACUCGAGUGCUCAUCUUUUGUGCCUAAAUUGGGGCCCAUUUGUGUCAAAGUCUUUAUUUAUGACUCAAUCUAUAUGUAUAUAUUAUCUCUAAAUAGUUAAUUUUGUUGCGGUCCAGCACGUAAGUGUUUAGGUCGUAUACCGUUUAAUUCUAUCGUCAUUUCUUUAAUUGCUCACAUGGCAAUUUUUUUUAUUAUAGGCCUAAAUGUGAAGCUGAGCUAUUUUCCGGCAUUGCCCGUGUAGCGGAAUUCAACUCCGGCGUCUUGAAUUUGUAGGCAGCUAUUUUAACGUCAUUUCAGGUACCAAAAUCUUGAAAGUUACUUUCUGACAUUGAAUUAACAAACAUUUGAUAUAUACAUUAUGCUCUUUUUGAAUUUUCUUUACUUUUGAGGUUGGCUCAAAGAACUUUAGCUUGAUUUUUAAAACAAUUUAUACCUAUUCUUUUGAUAAGGUGGUUCAGUUGCUUUAAUUUGGCUACUAAUUUACGAAUAUUAGAAGUUGUCACCGUCUUGUAUUUAUAUUGUAAUUUGUAAGCCUCUAUUGAUUUGAUUCCUUUGUAAAAUCUUGACAGUGCCGGCCUGAUUACACCUACUUAUUAUGGAAAUGGGAUUUGAAUAAUGCAAAGGCCAGAAGUGAACACUAUUAUUUGUGAUCUUUUUUGCAUCUCUAAGCAUAUCAGAAAUGUUUGAGAAAGAGGGGUUAUCAUUCAUGCUCUGUAUCUUUCUUGAGUUCUUGCUUUUUCCAGUUGUCGUUUCAUAAAUUAAAUUGGGUUCAAGAAUUUCUGUAUUGGACAAUAACUAUUGGGUUUCCUCCAAAGGGGAUUUUGCAGUUGGGUUCUUUAGUCGCUCCGAUAAACACAGUGUUGGUAUCCAUUUCAAUUUGCGCUCUAUCCCCUAUAGUAAACAAAUAGUGGUUUGGGUUGCUGGGGCUGACCUCACAGUUGGAGACAAUUCGUAUUUUGAGCUUACCUUCUAAGCUUGGUUAAGUUGCAUACAUACACAUAGAAAUAGACUUGAGAUGAUUUUCUAUUCUAUUAAUUUUCUAUUCUAUUCUAUUAAUUAAUCCUUAAACUUUUUAGGGUCUGUGAUUUUUGAUUCGAUAAUCAAAUCAAUGUACAAUGAGUAAUUUACUGUACAUUUGUCUUGAACAGAAUGCACAUUGCCAUUAAUGGGAGCUUGCAUUCAGGCAAAGAAGAAUGCAGGAGCUAAUGGCUCAACGAGGCACUGUAAGUGAUUGCCUCUUCAAAUAUACAUCAUUGAUUGACUUCUUGUGCUUUGAGGCUUUCCAAUUUGGACACUAAUAAUGACAUUGCAAAUUAAACUUUUUGAGUCACCAAACAUUUUGGGUAGUGGGAAUUUGCCCAAAAUUGACAGUGGAGGAGAAUUUUGGAUUAUGUGGGGUCAUAAACUUUCUCCACCAGUGGUAGUGACCAGUUAACAUUAUUUCAGUUAACGUGGGAUGGAUUGCAGAUUAGCAAUUGUUUGUAUAAGUUAGUUUGGGUGCUUUAUUAUCAAAAGAUCACCUUUUAAAAACUGAGCAUUGCUUACACAAGAUCAAUUUCCUUUUUAUCACAUUAUUUUCAUUCUUUCUAUUUUUUCUUGUGCUUGACUUCCUUUGUAAAUUGGGACUUUUUAUCCAUGUCUAGAUUUUACAUAUAUAUAUAUAUAUAUAUAUAUUGAUAAGUAUAUCUAGAUGUCAAAUUAUACAUGUCAGCUGACAUUAUCUCAACAUUGAACAUGUUUUUACCAGCUAAAUUGAUAGACUUGUCUAUUGAUUUUCAUAUGGCUUCACUAUCAUAUAUGAUGGUUCUCUGAAAAUGAUGAAUGGUUUAUCCAACAUUCCCAUAUGACUAGCAUAUGCUUUGUAAAUCACACUUUUUUUGACUGUUAUAUGUGUUUCAUAGUUUAAUUUGGUGAAGUUUUACAAUAUAUGAUUUAGAGAAGGUGAAUUGAGCAAAAGAGCCACAACAGGAUUCACAACGACAAUUACAGCAACAACAGCCAAAUAUAUUACAACAAGACAUGCUGCUAAGGCACCAAACAUCAUACUCGUUCCAAAAACAUCAUGCAAUUAAGCAAGAAAAGCAGUUAUCGCAAUUAACAAUUUCCUUUCCAGCAGAAUCAUCAAGUAUGUUUCUGACUUUCACUACACGCAUGAACAUAUUUAUCAAGUUGUAUUGUCAUCAUUAUAAGCCUAUAAAAUGUCUGUUCACUUAUAGCAUUAUUUAUGAGCACCAAUUAUUAUCUUGAUCCGUGUGUCAAUGUAUACCCACCAGGAGGAGGUUCACGAAGCACAUGCUUGUCUUCUUCAGGAUAUUUGAUUUAGAUAUUAAUUUGGUAGUCAAUAAAAAGGGUAUUACCUUCUUCCAUGUCCCUUGAUUAGUAAGAAAAUAACACAACAUUGUUGUCUUUGUGUAUUGAUUUUGGCACUAAGUGCCUCUGGUGACCUAUUUGCUUCAUUUUCCUGACUUGCUAUUAUUUUUAAAUAUGUGCAGGAAGACUGCUUUUACGACCUGCUUUACAAUACUCGGUAUCAAAUUUUCGUGUUACGUUUACGGAAGACAAGGGACGAAAUUAUGAAGUGUACUCUCUCUCUAUAUGUAGAUAUAUACUUUGAUUGAAGAACUGUGGUAGUUUUAGAUGGUUAAUUGUAAAGAUAAUGAAUGAUUAUGUAGUGGAUGAUUUUAUUAAGUUAAUAAUAUUUUAGUUUUUUGUAUUUUUGCCAUUAUUUGCUAUGAGAACAUUGAGCCAGCC